GGGGGUGGGGGUUGAGUGGCGGGAGUGAUGAAGAUUGACAGUCAUUCUGAAUUCUGAAUGAUUUAAAGUAAAUCACAAAUGUACACAAAACAUAACACAGUCUACUGUCACUAAAUUAGCCUGUUUUCAAAAAAUGUUGUGUUCUUUACCUACCCUUUACUAAAAAUGAAUGUGUGUUUUAAUCAGUUUUCUAGAGCGUCCUUAAAUCCCCCUGGAUUUAACUAAAUUACUGGAUGAAUUAAUAAAUUAUUCAAACUACACAAAUGAUUACACCUUCAGGCUCAAUGGCCGCAUCCUCCUGUAGGCCAUAUUAGUUCAAUUCUUGACACCUUGAGCUCUUCAAUUGGCAUUUUAUGGUUUAUAUACUUUGACUACUAUUGUAUUUUACAUCCUUAUACAUUCCUGUUGAGUUUAUACACUUAAAAUGACUGAUUAAUUAAUGAUUAAUUUUUAGAUUACAUUUUUUCUCUUUCUACUUUGUGUUUAGAUUCUAAUUUUGUUUUUACUUAAAAACAAAAGCUUUAAUGAGUAAUACUUAUACAGCUCAUUUAAUGCAACGAUGCUGUGGUUUGAGGACAUGUGGUUGGAACCAUGAGAGGGGCCCUUCUCUAGAAAUAACUGUCAGGCAAAAUGUUUCUAAUCUUUGUACUGUUAGGCAAUGAUGAAUAAAGGAGCCAUUCUUGGGUUGGCCAGAAUCCAAUAAAAAUUAUUACAUUAAAAAAUAACACCUGGGUUUUUAUGUCCAAAACACGUUUAUAUUGACUACAAUAUUAAAAAUCAAAAACCGAUAAAUAAUGUGGCUCGUCUUUAUUAUGGCAUGGCAAGUUGAGCAUAGCAUAUUAUAUAUUAAUGAUAAUUCAGACUGCUUACCAUAAAACCUUAAAACCUUAAGGGAUUAUUAGGCAACAUUUCAAUACAAUUUUAAAAUUGGUAACUGAAAAUCAAACAACGCUUAAAUGGAAUAAGACUGGGAUAGAACACAAGCAUAAAGUAACAGUGCAGUGUAAGAAAUGUUUUAAAUUUUAAAAAAAAUACGUUUUCAAAAACGAUAUGCCUCUUUCUCUGUAAAUCUUUGACCCUGGAGACAGAAUGUAGAUUAACUGAGUGGUCUAGAUGAUUCUUAAUGGAGAAGAUCGGAAAUGGUUAAUCGUUAAUCUAUGUGAAUUAAUCUGGCAGAGAUGCGAUAAAAUAUUUUAAUGCCGAUAACGCUACUUUGUUUACUUCCGGUCUUCCAGUGUGCCGAAAGUAAACAAAGUUGACCCCGGAAACAAAACCGCCACCAGCUGCAGUCAGUUAGAUCUGAGCGAGCAAGUCGGCAGCUGAAGACUGAGGGAGCUUUUUGCAUUAGAAGUAAAACAAACAGAGGCGUGACAUACAGCGGAGAACUGUGCAUCACAUGUCAAACAGAAGGGGGAUGACUGGCAAACGGACGACUUUACGCACCGCCAUGAUAAGCUAGCAGCUGGGCUACUUCCAUCUCAACACCUACCCUGCAGAGGACCACCACAGUGUUAAAAAACAAAAAAGUAAUGGCGAGUUAUGUAUUUAAAAUGUGCAAUUAGUUCUAUUGACAGGCCAAGUAUUUUUGCACUAAAACGUUAAGAACUUUAUAAAACAAUAUUAGUAUUUUGAUAUCAAAACUGAAUCAAGAAACAUGUACAGGUAUUUUGUUAUUUUCCAUGACUGUUUGUUUAGAACAAUAUGCUUCUUCCAAUGUUUGCUGCUUCCCCAUUCCUGUAAAUGCACUUGGUAUUGUACGUUACAACAACUACACACUGUAUAGAAAUCCUCAAUUAUCCCUCACAAAGCUCCAUUUUACUCCAAUUAGCUACAGAGUCUCUCCGCCGGUGAUUUAAUGCAGGGAUUGAGUGAAGGGCAAAGACUUGAUCUAGACUUCCUUGUUUACUGAAAUAAUUGAUAUUAUCAGAAUGUUGGUGAUUAAUGGAAUUACUGAAGAACACCAUGGCUCAGAAGCUUUGCUUGAAUUUAGAGCUCAAGAAUCACAUUGCAUUUUUCCCUGGAGUCAACUAAUUAGUGUGUCGAGUUAGGCUGGCUGUAAGAUUAGAGAGAGAUUGGAAAACGUAAGAAGUGAGUCUAAUAGCAAAGUAAGUCCUGUGCUUCCAUAACAUCUCCAUUUUGGUUGGUAUACAAAAGAUGAUUAUCACCUGAGCAACACUGCCUUUUUAGGGCCAAACAGCAAUCUGUGUUGGGCUUGAGAAACUAAUUGAACUUUUAAUGAUCUAAACGUCAAUUUAGAUCACGGGAAAGUCCACCCACGUUUUUAUCAUUUUGUCAACUCACUGCACCUUUGUUGCUGUAUCCGCUUCAUGCUACACUGCAACAUAACAUAUAACAGCAACGCAGGAUGUAAGCUUUAACCAACCUAGUCAUGUCCUCUUCCUCUUCUCCUUUUACAAAUUAUUAUUAUUGUCUCUUUUGGAAGGUUAUUCUUUUGUUUCAGUUUUAGUUUAUUUAAUAAUUUAAUAUUUCUAUCUUAUUAUAUUGUAUAUAAUGUGUAUCUUUUUAUUCUAUUUUCUUCCCUGUACAUGCUGCUGUGAUACCAAAAUUUCCCUCUUGAGGGAUCAAUAAAGUAUCUAUGUGUUGUACAAAUACCCAACCUAAAAAAUUGCAAUGGUCAUAGAGAAAGGUGCUGAACACAGGGGGAGCAAAAAAGCUGGGGCAUAACAUAACAAAUUAAGAUGCAGAGAUCCCCGGUCACCCUAUGCUGUGAAUGUUUGGUAAAAAAAAUCUGCUGCAGGCAAAGCCUUUGUAGAUGAAUACACAUGUUUAUACAAAUAAACUAUUACUUUGUUAAGAGACUAUAUCCUUUGCUAGGAUCCAGCACUAAACAUUUACAUUUCUGUAUAUUUCCAUUAAAUUCCAUCUAGAUGAUUUUGGGGAUGAUUCUAAAGCAACGUACUUCUUCAGACUUAAAAAUACACUUGCAUAUAGCGUACAAUACAUACUUUCUCUGAAUGAAAGACUUCUGGCUGACGGGAGAACGGGUUGUAAUGAAUAGAUAAAAAGUGUGAGUCAAUUGCACCGGAUUGAGAGGGCCACCAUGGGAGAUGCAGUAUGCGGGUGGAUGAGAUAAGCCAGUCAUCUUUCUCAACUAGCAGAGCCUCCUGAGAUCUAUUAAUAAUGAAACAACAUGCUGGUUUGUAAGGAUUCGCGUAUCAUGAAAAUGGCUUUUUAGGUGCUGUUACAGACCUUUUACCUCUCUGCUUGGUUCGCACUAGCGCAGGAGUUUGUGAAAGGCACAGUGGGAGUACUCUUUGCCCUCCUGGAGAGCUUUUUAGUUACUGGUGUUUUGUGUGUAGAGUGCAGGGUUGUGGAGACAAUCUGUUGGACGUUCUGCCACAGCCAGAGAGGCCCUUCAAGGCCCGGCUCGCCUCACUUACAGCACUGACUUGGCUGGAUUUUGUUUUAUUUUUUACCCCUGUUUAUGCACUGUUUUAGAAUCUUAACAUUCAGUAGUAGUUUAGGGUUUGGUGGGGCACCUGUCUGGUCACAAUGUCAGACAUUCUCAACAGUAUUUCAAGUCAGAGACUGAGCAAUGGCUGAAACAGCUGAAUAAUUUAUAUGAGGACAAAGAAUGGUAGAAGUGAGAAUGUUUCAACUUUAUUUCAGAAUACAACAGGUACCAAUGUCUCCAUAUCAUACCAGCCUUUCACAGGGAACUAAAGCAUUAUUCUCCGCAUGCCUGUCUGCCAUUAUUUGCAAUGCUGAUUGAUAGCUCUUUCUCUAACCGCCUCCAUCACACACUGCAACUGUGGUUUGUUGCCUCUAUUUCUGUCCUCUUUUGCUUUUGCUCAGCUUCUAUCGCUUUCUUUGUGUCUCUGUAGACUGUGAGCUGAUAUCCUUUGAAAAGGUAAUGAUCCCACUGUGUUGAGAUUAUGUAUGUGAGCUGCACAGUGUAAUGGCCUGGCUUUUCAUUGCCUGCUGCAUGCUAAUCCCACAACUGAAGGAAUGAGAUGGCACCUGCAGGGAGCUGUGUGCAAGCUGCAGCCUCACAUGAAAGAAUGGCCAUUAAAAAUGAUCAAAGAAAUUACUGCACUUGGCUGCACAACAUCUCUCACGCCUGGCUAGGUGCACAUCCCUCUGCCCUAACACGCGCAGAGGCAUGCACACAUAUACACAUGCAUAAACUAAUUAGUAUCUUUUUCUGAUGGAUAUUUUCCAAGUGAUCCUCUGUGGAAAUGUCCUGCGCAUCGUUGCCUUAGGCUCUCUGCAGAUGAUGCACCAACACUUGUAGAUAGGAAAUGGAGGACAUGCGUGAGUUCAAAAUGAUGUCUGCUCUCUUUACCCUGACCACAAAUUAUUCAUGGAUGUAUUACCCCAAGUGUUCUCCUACUAAAUUUUUAUCCAACCUUUUCUUCAGAAGUUGCCUGCUGUAUUAAGACAUUAUUUCAAAGAGUAUUCAUUGCAUUUCAUUUGAAAUAUUUGCUGUGUGGAUGUCAAAAUAGGUUUGUGUUUACAGUGGUAAACCGUUUUCUUAAGUUUCCUUUUAUCAGGCUUUCAGAUAUCUGACAUUGCAACAUUGCAUCCAGCUAAACUAAGUCUGACUUGGAUUCCCUCCUUUUCAUGUCAUUGUUCUGUUCACACACUCAACACACUGAGACAGGUGGCUGUUCUUAUUAGUUGGCCCCCUGUGCUGGCAAGCAGAUGUCAUUUCUCUGAGGUCAGUUCACUUCCCCACUGUAAUGAAUUCAGUUUGAGUAGAAACACACUUAUAAAUGCAAUUGAUUUCCUGUUGAGCCUUGAAUAAUAACUAUUUCACUCGGUGAAAUGUCCGGUCUGAAUUGGCAUCCACUACCUAAUGUGCUUUUAAAAUCAACACUUGCAGAAGUUGCAGGAGGAGUCUCAUGCGUUGCAAAGGGAGUACAGAGUGUGAUAAACAGCACCUGAAGACAUGCAUAAAGAGGCAAAUGGUUAUUUUCCACACGUUAUUUUUCCUGCGUUGAACAUAGGCACUCCAACAGUGCGGCUAUCACACCCGUUUUACUAAGAGCUUCCUUUUUUCACUUCUCCUCCUUUCUUCCUCAGCGCCCCCUCUUCUCUCCCUCUGCGGUCCAUUUUAUAACCAUGCGGCUGCAUGGUUUGGUGGGUAAUUUCACUGCCUUUUCAUGUGUCGGAGGGCGAGGAAUCCUCCUCCAUUAGGUAGUGUCGUCUUGUGAUGUAUGAUGUAUGCACAGAGAGGCAAUCUGAUGUUUAUUCAUGACUUUCAAGGCAAUGCCUCAGCUAAGCCCUCUGGUUUCCUUUUAAGGAACACAACUAGAUUGAGAGUUCAGUUUAAAGGCAGACAAAUCAUCCUGCAGCACUUCUUUUAUCUUUCUUUUCCUCCCUCUUUGUCUCUCUCUCCCUCUCAAACACAUCCUUUCUCUCUCUCUCAUUCCUCACCACCCACUUCUAAUCUCUUUUAAAUUCUCCAAUGUUUUUUCUGUCAGAUUUAGUUUAAUUGACCCUUAGAAAAAAGAUCACAUGCAGUUAUUUUGUUUAGAUUUUUCCCCUACUUGCCUCUGUCCCAACGGAGGACUUUGAUGAAAAAAAUACUAAAAUUAAUUAAUGAAUUAAAUAUUUGUUUGUGGUACACUGCCGCGUUAAGGAGACACCACCACUGCAAGUCUAAAAGGCACUCUAGUACACACAAUAUACAUAUGUUGUUUAUGUGAAAUCCUACAACCACAACACUUAUUCCGUCGACUAUAUGUAAACAUCAGGUAUCGGAGAUCACCGGUAAUCGGAAGUUGUUGUUGCAGCAACAACCAAUAGCCUGUUUGCAAUUUUGACACUGUAGCCAGUCUGUUAUAAAGUAACCAUGAGUCAAAAAUAUAUUUGUCUUGUAAAUUAUUUGUUAAUGUUAAUAAAGAUUCAUGUUUCAGUCAGCCUUUGAUGGGACUCCUCCUUUGAACAAAUGGUAUCUAUUAAUAUUGGCAAUGACCGAGCUUCCAACUGCAUAUGCAUCAUAAUACCAUUUAAUUAUUUAUCGUAUUUCCAGACAUACAGGGUGUGUGUGUGUGUGUGUGUGUGUGUGUGUGGUUAGACUGCAAUAUUGUUAAGGCUUUAAACUGUAGUGCCACUUGUGUACCUGCAGCCUGCAUGAUACCGUGAUGUAUUAUUCCCCAUCAUCCCACAUUUCAGCAUACAGCUAAAGUAGACUGAUCCGGUUAUAUUUUGUGGGAUGCUUAGGGGAGCAUGAGUGAGGCAAAUGGUUGCAAUUUGUAAUCAGGAUUUGUAAAACUGUGCUUAUAACCAUAUUCUCUCGUCCUUGAGUUGUGCACAUUCUAACCUUAUGAUAAAUAAUGCAAAUGUGCCAACCUCUGCAAAUGCCAGAGAAAAUGGGUUAGACGGGAGGGACAGGGCAAGGGAGCGAAGGGGAGAAUGAGAGAGCAACAGCUAGCAUAACUAACUGAUUGUUGUGCUGUCAAGUUGAUUUGCAUGAAAAAGGCCGGCCUAAUUGCAACACUUAGCUGCAACACACUGAUAAUACAGAGACGGAUUACAAAAGGACAUGGAGCUCUUAUUAAGAAGGACUUUCUGGGUGUCUAAGAGAUGCAUCACCACCUUCUGUUUCCGUGGGGAGUAUUGGAAGCAGUGUGAGCCUCACCUUGUCCUGUCUGGCAUGACAUUUCCGUCAUGCUAAUGCGUACACAUUGCUGUCUUAGUAUUCUUUCACGUGUAGAUCAUUCCUAAUUUGUUAUAGUUACUUAUCAUUUGAACCUAGAAAGUAUUUAUUUAUGAAAUCCUUAAAUAGUCAGGUCCCUUUUGACAAUAGUGCACAAAACACCCUGCAAGAAUGAAAUGCCUUUAAGAAACAAAUGCUGACUCUAGGCGUAAAGGUAUAUUAAUAGAACAAAGAGUACAAUCAUUUUAAUUUCAACAAAGUAGUACGUAGUAACAGUACAUCCAAGACAGUAUUAAAAGUGGCUUGAAAAGUGUAUGGUUUUGGAAAAAAAGUUGUGGAUGGAGGUUUAGCACAGGGCUUCCUGUUGCUGCCAAAGGCAUGCCAUUAUGGAUGUUUCAAAUUACAAAAGAGUGCUGGUAAAGUUCUGUAUCAAAGCCCCUUGUUUUGCUUUAAUAUUUAUUUAUUUAUAUGGCCCGUAUUGAAUGAUGCAAUGUGCCACGCUAUAAUGUGUGCUUUUAACAUAGUAUCUAGUUUCUACCUGUAAAUGCAUCUUGCAAGGGGUUGUUGGUGGUCUUUCCUCACCAGAUAUUGACAUUGAUUUUAAUGAGCAUGUUUUUUUUUCCAUGUCAGAUGGAUUGUUUGUUUGUGUGAAUUGAGAGGAGCAAUAAUACAUUUUAAUAGCCCAUUAGGGCUUACUGUUAUUUGUAUUUUGCAGUGAGCCUCUGGAAAUAACAUUUUUGUCUCCUAAAAAGGUUUUCUCAUGCAUGGGUUACUAGUUAGAUUCUAACCCUAAAAUCUUUGGUCCAACUUCAUGAAUAGCACAUGUACCUGAGAAUAGUAUCAUCUAUUGCACUGACAUGAUCUAGUAAUUGGUCAUUAAAAAAUACCAUGGUUACUGUGUUAAUUAGGAAACCUGUUGGGGAUGGAGGUCAGCAGCUCUUAAGAGCAACAUGACAACAGUAUAAACAGACAUUUACUGCAUUCAAAUGGAACUUUGAAGCACGAGGCAUAACGGUUGCUCUUCAGAUGCAUUUUGUUGAUAACAAUGUUUUAAGCUGAUUAAUGACAAAAGGACGUUUCUAUAUUCCUCCUUUUUCAAAGAUGUAGGUUUGUUUACUUAUUGAUUUAUUGAUUGUUUUUAACAACUCCGCUUCAUGUUAGGGUAAGUUUAUGGGGUCUGAUUUGUAGCAAUUAUUGUCUCCAGCCAUUUCACAAAGCGCCUCAACGAUCAAGCUGUAGCUGCAAGGAAAUAUGUGGUACAGCUGAAAAGCACUGGUAUUGUUUUGAGACUCUUUAGGCACCAAAGUGAACAUAUAUUGUAUAACUAAACCUAUUUCAAAGUAAUCAAUUUGUGGCUCCGGUUACAUACGUGCCAAUGCUGUACAUAGGAGAGCAAUUUGUCCCCAACUAGAAGACUGGUCGCUUUCAUUUUUUUUCUUUUUCAUUUGUGACUUUUUAAUGUAAUUAAAUGAUACAUAUGGCUUGCUUAUUUCUUUGGUGGUGCUAUAGUAAAAGCUUUUGUCCUUCAUGGUAUGAAAUGUCUUUGCCAAAGGUGUGUUUAAAUGCUGCCUGCAUGAUUGUUGCCGUCAUAAUCAAAGUCCCAUAAAACUCUCAUGGGCAAAAUGUAUUGAGUAUCUUUUCCUCUGUAACCAUUGACUUGUUAUGACAUCAUUUUAAUCUUAAAACGUUUUUAUGGCCAUGUAGCUUACUUGAUGUAGUCAUAUCUCAUCUUCCUCCAAUACUUCAGUUUUACAUUCUUUUACCCCACUAUUAGGCUCGCUGUAGUCUGUAUUUCUUCCCCCAUUGAUCAAGGGCAUCUUCUUCACUGUCACUAGUGUGACGGUUCUAACAAAGCCAACAUUAGAAGCUUUUCAAUUUGUGCACACAUUGGCUAAUAUUCAUGUACUUAAUUAAACUUUUUCAUCGCACAAGAAAAUGGCAAAUCUAUGGAGAAUUCUAAGAAGUAUGAAGCAUAAAAGCUGUUUGCCAUAAAAGGCACAUUUCCUCCUAUUUCUGCUGGACAUGAUGGAGGUAAUUGUCCAGAUUUGCACUGAAAACACGGCUUAAUGUCUUUGGCUUGCGGGAAUAAAAAUGAAAAUGGGUCUCAAGGUCCUUAUUACAAGCCUCUGAUGUCAAUCAUUUUCAAACAAGGCCUUUAUCACAGUGUUUCUAUUCCCUCCAUCCUCCCUUUGGAACCAUUUAUAGGACUGGAUAUGUGUAGGGAGCAGGCGCUAAAGCUUGAAUAACAAUAACACUCCUCUGACCAGCCUUGCAAACUUAGUCGAUGCACAACAGGCAGCAGUCUUCAAACAGCCAGUUACAGGUGCAGGAAGUUUCAUCGCGCUCUCACAGCUUUUAUCAAUAUGAGAAGAUUGAAUUGUUUUCAAUUUUCUACCCACAUGAAUGUAUGUUUUUCUUUGAACCUUAAUGAUAUGGUUUUGGAUGGACUACUCCAUGCAAAAGUACUUUAACAACUUCAGAUGCACGUCCUCUUUUUUUUUUUUUUCCUCUUUUUUCACAGUUCUCAAAACUUAGUGGGUAGGUGCCUUAAAGCAGCGGUUCCCAAACUCAAUGAUGCCGCGGCCCACUUUGAAAUCUGAAAAUCUUUUGCGGCCCACCGAAACCUUUAAUCACAACUCUGAUCAAAACAUAACUAGGGAUAAUUAAAUGACCUUAAGAAUUUAACCGAUUAAAAAUGUAUUAACCGACAAUGUAUGUUUUGUAUACCAUUUUCUCCGGAGCUCAUGUGACGUGUUCUCCGCACAAUAAGGCGCAUAAGAUACUGCAGUCUAUCAGCGCAAAUCACUGUCAAAAUUCGAGAGCGCAAAUCAGGUUGAUGCGCGCGCGUAAAUCAAACAUCCGCCAGCAAAAGCCCAUCUCGAGCGAGCAAAAGUUCGUCUCGAGCGAGGUAUUUGCUCACUUGCGAGACGUGAACUUCCUCGUUCGCGAGGUUAGUCUCUGCUCGCGCUCAAAGGAGUUUUCUACGCGCUCGCUGUUGUUCUUUCAGACAGUAAGGGGGCGGAGCCAGUCACAUGGUAUCUACAUCUUUGGAUUGGCUGGAGCGAUGCAUUCACACAACUAUAGAAGCCCAUUUCUGCACUGAAGAAAGGGGAUAGAAAGUCGAAAUUAUGAGAUAAAACAUUGUCAAAACACAAACGACACCUUUAUGUAACCGUAGUGGACCGUAGAUGACAACCAGCUUCAACCAUCGUCACCGGCACAUUAAGACCAAUGCGUCCAGCUCGCAGACCGGCUGGUGAUUUGCCGCCAUUGCAGUCAAACGUUUGGCGUCGGGGCGGGUGGAUGGGGAGGUGGAGACGGUGCUUUCAGGGUCCGAUCGAGGUGCGUCCGCUCCCGCCGCCCCCCUCGCCAUACAUGCCUUAAAUCUUCGGCUGCUCUCCAGCCACGCCGCCUGCCAAGGGCUGCUUUUAGAAUAACUUAUUUUCCCCGUUAAGAUGGUUCAGCUACUGUAGAGAAAAGGGCACCGUCUCUCGCUCUUUAAUCUCAUGAAGUCCUCGGAGAGAACGACAGCUUUGUUUCUCCGACGCGUCCUGAAACAAGCUCCAUAUCUCACGCGCUUGAGCGCCGCUCAGCAUCUCGCCUUCGUAGACGAGCUUUGUCAUGUUUGGAGCGCCUUGAGCGCCAUGUACAACCAGUAUGGAUCAACCGAUUAACCAAUCUGUUCGUUUAAAUUGUUUGUGCUUCAUCAAUUAAUGUUUCACAUGACUAAUGUGCCGCAUCAUACAUAUUUUUAUAUUCUUUUCAAAAUUGAAAAUUAAAAACGUUUUAUUUAUUGUAAAUGACCUCUCGCGGCCCACACUUUGGGAAUCGCUGCCUUAAAGUCUUUGAGUAAUGUAUUUUUUAGUCCAAUUAGAUCUGUCUUUGCCCUUUGGCAGUAAAGUGUGGAGGUAGCAGAUUUGUCUUCCUCAGCCAGCAGAGGUCAUGUUCACAAGUGUGAUUUCUACCAGGCAGGUUGUAUUAGGACAACAGUUAUGGGUCAUAGAACACCCUGUUAUAGGUUCCACUAUGGCUGAGCUGUCUAUCCAACAUGCGGAGUUCUGGGAGAUCAUAUUGGCAGCCAUAUUGCAUCAGUAUGAUUCAAAGAAAGUAAUGAGAGCCAAGCUAGUAGAUGAUGCAAUCAAUGUAAAAUAAGCAUAUCCCAUUACAAAUGGACUAAUGGGUAAAAUAAACAUGGGUUAAAGAGAUUGCAAAGGUGAAUGGAGAACCUACUAUUCACAAAAUAAACCUAACCAUGUACCUGUGUCAUUUGGUCCAUGCAAUUUGCUUUUCCUGAAUAGAUUCUAUCGAGGCAGAGACCUCAACUUUGGUGCAGAAGUGGCUCAGUACAGUAUUUCAAGGCAUCCACUAAAAGUAUUUAUGUGUGGGGUGUGUGAUAAUAUCGUCUGCAUUACAAAGCUGUGGUCUGAGAGUGCUAGUGCUAACUGUCUCCUGGCGUAAUGAGAGAGUGAGCUGUCAGAGACACGCAUGUAAUGGCUCCCUUGCCAGCCGCCCAGUUCAGGCCCUGUGGGACUCGGGAACAAACGCACCAUUUCUUUCACACCGUAUCCUCUGUCUUUCUUGUAUUCUCCCUCACUUCCAUUCUCUCUGUCUCUCUCCGCUUUUUAAACUCUGACCCGGACAGUGACCAUGGCAGGCCUCUCCAUCUUUUGUCUCUUUCCAUUGCACAGAUACUAAAUCGUUCACAUAACAACAAACACACACAGUACAGAACUGCUGAGCAUGCAGAAUUCCGGAGGGGAAUUUAGUGGCUGAAUCCCCAUUGGAUGGCUUAUUGUGUUCAGUAUACCAAAGGCUGCUCCUAAAAUGCAAGUGUAAUGGCAAACAGGCUGCAGCUUCUCAAUAGACCAGGCAGAAUAGUCACACUCUGAUGGUACGUCUUUAUCUCUCUGACACCCCCAGUAUGCUGCGCAAGCUGCUGUUUGAGUGCCUUCAGUCAACUGCCGACUGGACAUGUCCUUUAAGUGCGAGGUCAUUUUUCACCCCUCGUUACACUGAAAGAGGACUUUCACAGCUUUAACAUUAGAUUGUGAUAUUGAUAGACAUUACACAACUGCAGUCAUAACUACAGUGUGCUAAUUCUAAAGUGAGCUAUACUCAAAGUUUUGGCGUCAAAGAAAACGUUUUAGAAAUUGCACUCUAUGGGAAAGCGUCCACCGUUUCCUCUUCCUCCCUCUGCUCUCAGCCAAUCUAUAAGCAGUGACCCCCGAGGCUUGCCGUUAUGGCAGUUCUUUCAUCAGCCAUUACUGCUAGUGUUAAUGGCAUCCUCAUUCUGACUUUAAAGAUUGAUUGUCAUAUUGUGCAGUUUGAUUGACAGUUGACCUUCACACCAGUUUAUGAAGAGCCAGCUAGAUACAGUGGGUCACCUCGAUUGCCUCAGUGACAGCAUAUUAAUUCUAAUCUGAGAAUUAUCAGGAACCAAUUAAUGUUUAGACAAGACUGUGGUUAAAGAGAUAGUGGAGCUUUACAGCUCGGGCGAUAUGCUCACUAUAUAGUCCUCAUGCCCAGUGAAUUGUGUAUAUAAGUAAGUAAGUAUAAGUAUAUGAUCGAGCAUGUGUACGAUUCACUUGGCUGAGGCCGUCCACACACAUAAGGGGAAUGCAUGUAAAUAAUGUCUGCCUUUUCAUCAUGCAUUCAUGAUGCUUUGGGUAAAAGUAACCAUUGAAUGUUACUGAUAAGAUAUUGAACCUUCAGCAAAUAUAUUUACUGGUGUCUGUUUGUCUCCAUGUCAACUUUAGUCGGAUAACUUGAGAUCCUGUAUCCUUUUGAAAUUGACCUCCCGUCGAUAUGAUCAAUAAAUAAACAUUUUGAUGGGAGGCUUAGCGACUGCUUGUUGAUAGAAAGGUAACAUUUUUAGACAAGAACAAAGCAGCCUGGAAUUAUUUCCAGCAUAUAGCACACCUGCAUAUUAUCUUCAUCUUAUGACAAACCUAAAAAUACACAGACACCUUACUGGUGCUGCUGAACCGUUGCAAUGUUUCACGAUGGCUAUUUGCAUCCACAAUUCCCUCCUACAGGGAGGGAUGUCUCCUAACCCUGGUCUCAUCUACGUCAGUUCCUCUGGCCCAUGCUGCCGUCAUCUUUCCCACAAACGAACACUCCUGCUUAGAAACGCAUGGUGGAGGUGUGUGAUGCCAAACGAGUUCCUCGUUACCUCCCUCCCACUCAGUUGGUGGAGGCUUUUGGAAGAACUACAGCGACAUCUGCAUGUGCCAUGGUUACAGAGCGCCGGGCUCAUACCCGCCUCACUGGGCUUCCCCUGCCAACCUGCGUCCUGUCUGCACUGCCCCUCCUCCUUGCACCUGCGGCAAUCACUUCUCAAAUUACUAAACAUGACUAAUUGGGUGAGGCGUGAAGCUCACUUCAUUUAAAUAUUCUGGCUUGGGGGGGAUUUUGCGUUGCAUAGAAUUAUUAAGGCGGAGAGGAUUCACAAUUAGAUACAUGGAUUUCUGUGGAGUCAAAUUUAAAUCGUCGUUGUUCAUGUUGUAGCUCUCAGCAAUCUGAUUUCAUUAAAUUAUUAAUUAAAUUAUACAUUUUGUACCAUUAUUGUUUUAACUUCUUUGUUGAAAGUUAGUUUAGGUAGGGAUCCUUGUUAGAAGAUUUCUUAAAGACGACUUCUGUAGUCUUUUAUUUUUUUUUAAUCUUCAAAGAAAAUUAAUUUAAGAAAAGACUCAAAGUGCCAAAUUGGGUCUCAGUGCUUCUCCUCACUAACUACGUGAUCCUGUAUUCUAUGGGAUAUUAUUGUUUUUUACAACUUCCUAAUAAGUGCAAAAUGACGGCUCAUUACAUUAUGUGCUGCAUGUGUUUCUGUAUGGGAGGAUUAAUGUAAUAAUAAUUAAACAUAUCCAAUAUAAUAGGCCUGGUUCAAAAGUAAAGAUCCGGCGUAGGUUUAUUUUGGGGAAAGUUUAUUUGAGGAAUAGUCUGGAAGUGGUGGUUGUUGUCUUGUGUAGCGAGAUACUGGGAAAGACACAAUGGCAGUUAUUGCAAGUAAGAAUGUAUAUGACUCCUCAGUCACUUAUCUGCUGCUAGUCACAGUCAACUGCAAUGUUCUGCCGUGAUUUAUAUAACCUAUAAAACCCUUACAUGAGCUCUCACGAAAUUAACAGUAAAUUGUUCAUUCAAACACGUUUUUUUUUCUUUUCGUUUUGUAGCUGGCAAAUAUUUAGUUGAGUCCGGAAUCGCAAAAAUAAUCAAUUUUUCUGUUUCAUUAACAAAUCCACAAACAUCCAUUAGUUCUACGUGAACAGACAUCCACUGUAUGUGAGAGAGCUCCUUGCGCAGAUUGUAAGGUGCUCAAUUAGUCCGUGUCGGAAAGAUUGAGCGCACAGACAUUUUUAAUUAAUGUUGAAUUAAACGAAUUGGCAGGUUGCCAGAAACCAGGCGCACAGCUUUGAAGAUAUGUCAUCGCAUAAUGAGUCGCUUUUUUUCUCUUAUAUUUCAUGCUUUUCUAUUUCCAGUCCCUGGCUCUCUGCUGCCAUUUGCCCAUAUGCCUUAGCGAUUUAAUGAUAUGCAAAUGAAAUAUGCAUAAAACCAUUCUGCUGUAGGAUGAUUAAGCACAGAGGACAUUAGCCAGUGCCCACCACAGUGUCUGCUGUCUCCUCUGCAUUCCGCUUCGGCCGGGCGCCAACAACACCGUUCUAAUAAAGAUCAAUGCUGCUAAUGCGCUAAUCAUUUCAAUAAGACAAAUAAUAUCCAAGUGAAAGUAGAUUCCAAGAUGGUCUUCUCGCUCCAGUUUUGUAAGAUCCAGAACCAGGAAAGGCAGAUGUCUCCAUAUGCGAGAGAUGGUGCUCUGGAGAGCAGGCAGGGAGCAAAGACACCAAUGCAGGAGCUUUUCUCUGCUUGUUUGUGAGUACUGUGGCAUUAUUUGACUACUGGCAUAUAACGAAGGAAGAAAAAUAUCCCCAAUCCUGCUUUCCCUCUCUCUCUCUCUCUCUCUCUCUCUCGCUCUCUCUCUGACACACACAUAUACACACACUCCACCCCCCAUUCAAUUCUGCUCUCUCGUUCAAGCCCUUUUUUUUGUAAUCCAUUUGUGUAAUGAAGAUGCUGCACAAUUAACAUCCCCCAUGGAAUUAAAUAAAAGGGUGAUUAUCCAAAGUUCAUUAGCUCCAAACGAUUAGCAUAUCCACGUGUCUCCACUUGAUCGUUAUGGAAAAAAUGCAACAUCAAUUAUAAAUUUAGAUUCAUCGUAAUUCGUCUUUGUUGCGAUCGCGAUUUUUGCAUUUGAGAUGCCCGAAAAGAUGCCAUCUUUCAAUCGGUCCAUCCUCAGUGGUGGAUUCAGACAUCUUGGUAGUGCCAUGGCUGGGCAGCGAGCACAAAGAUGUUAUAAUCCCUCCUCUUUGGAAGACUUCCUUGAUUAUUCAUAUUGUAAAACCAUGCCUCUUGUCCAAAGAAAUCCAGGAGAAAAAAAGAAAAGUAAAAUAGUUACUGUUGGAUGAACAUCCCCGCGUGGCUAAUUACUGUUUUAAUUCCGAUUGUACGUUUUAAUUAACAACGAACUUAAUGAAGCCUCCGUUGUGCGUCUUUGCAGCGAUGCCCAUCCUUGGCUCUGUGCCCAACGCCAGCAGACCUCUCGGGAACAACAGAAUCGUUUCUCCGGACCCAGAGACUCCCGGAACCGCAACUCCAACCAGUUGGAGAACUUUGGAUUGGAACAAGGAAAGAAGACAAUGCGAUGGAAAUAGCGACUCUCAUUCGGUGUUCUUUAAUUACAAUAUUAACUGCUGUUCAUUUUUCUAUUGCACUUCGAUGUGGUUUGUGUUGCUAACUCCAACUCAGAACUUUCCUGAUUGUAGCGUCAAGACAAUUAUUCCUAUACAAUUAUUUCUAUUUUUGGUCAAGGUUUUCAGUUUUUAUUAACAUUUUUUGUAUAAUGGUGUAUAAUGGCGAUGAGAUUGUCCAGCUUUUUCUGUAUUAAUAGUAUACACUAAUUAAAUAGUGUAAUUAUUUUCUGGAAUUAGUUCUCAACCGGCAGCUUAUUAAACAGCAGACACCUUUCAUUAUAUCUAAUGAAUUUAAUUGUGGCUUAUAUUUUGCCUUGACUUUAUUGUUUGAAUGCAUUGGAAAUCUCACAUUGAGAUUGCGAUAAUUGCUCAAGUAUUUUCUCCUGUUAUACAUUUUCAUAUGUCAACUAAAGUUACAUCUUUUUUUCUUCCUUUGCUUAAAACCUCACAAUCACUUUAGCCAACCUUUGGAUACAUCAGUGAUUUGUAUCUUUUUGAUGUUCUCUAUGAAAUAACAAUAGUUACAAAAAUAAUAAUGUUAUUUUUAUUAUUAUUAUUAUUCUAUUAUAAAUACCACCUCUGACGAACCGCAAAGAGGCCCUGACGUAUUCUCUUUCCACCACUAUGGAAAGUUGUCAAAAUAAAAAAAUAAAACCGUAUUAUCUUCUUGAA
ensembl:lncRNA